rnacentral:rRNA from 1 species
AUACGGAGGGUGCAAGCGUUAUCCGGAAUCAUUGGGUUUAAAGGGUCCGCAGGCGGAUUAAUAAGUCAGUGGUGAAAUCCUCUCGCUCAACGAGAGAACUGCCAUUGAAACUGUUAGUCUUGAAUUCAGUCGAAGUAGGCGGAAUGUGUCAUGUAGCGGUGAAAUGCAUAGAUAUGACACAGAACACCGAUAGCGAAGGCAGCUUACUAGACCUGGAUUGACGCUCAUGGACGAAAGCGUGGGGAGCGAACAGGAUUAGAAACCCCAGUAGUCC